GGAAUCAACCUUCUCUGAGGAGGAAGGUAGAGAGAAUAAUUGUGUCAAACUUUUCAAAUUGUAAACCAGUGAAUUCAUAUCAAAAGACAAUGACUAUAAACACAAAGGCUAUUUGUAUUGCUGACAGGCACACCCUAAAACGUAUAAGAAGAGGUCUCAGAGGUGUAGUAUAUGGGAUGUUUCUGAUCAACUGUAGGUUUCCAUUUGAUUGGAAGCCGCCUGAACAGGUGGUUUGGGAGAUGCGCAGUGUUGCCCAACGUCACACUCGGUGGUGGUAUAAAAUCCCCUGGGUUUGUCCUCCAGUCCUCCACUUAUCUUGAGAAAAGACCAAGGCAGAAAGCUACAUUACGCGCAAUUGUGGCUGUGAAGAAACCGAUAACAAGAUGACUAAAAUUGUAAUGGCUUACAUUGGGUUUCUUCUCCUUGCCAUGCAUUUUUCAUCACAGGUCCAUGCUCAAAACUCUACCACACAGUCCCCUGCCAUGAAUGCUACGACCAAAGCUGGCAGUACGAGUUCCAACAUGACCAAGAUGCCCGAUGUCACCAAGAACAACAUUGCCAAAGGAGCCAGUUCUUCUUUGCAGUCCAGCUCCUUCACGCUUAUCAUACCCAUCAUGGUGGGGGGCUCACUACAGGGGCGCUUCUAGAGGUUCUGUUGAGCAGUGAACAGACACCGACAAGACUUUAACAUCCCCGGCCUAGAUGGGGUUAACUGUUUCACAAAGAUCACAUUUUAAAAAUAAAUAAUCAGAAAGGCAGUCAUGUGCGCUCCUAACCGAAGAGGUUUGGUGGAGUUGCGUGCUGGAGAACCCAUUUCUACUUCACUGAUGGGAAUUGUUAUUUGCCCUCACACCUUCCGGACGCUUCAAACCAGUAAGCCUUCACACCUCGCACACUGGCCCCAUGCCCAUAGGCCGAACUGUACGUUCUCUCCAUGGAGGCAGUCCAUGAUGAGGAUGCACUCUGCUCUUUGAACCGUUUGGUCCCGCUGUUCCUGUGCAGACACCAAGGGGUAGUUUAGUAAUUUGUUAAAAUAUCUAAAGAGAUGUUGGUUGAGGCACUUCAAAAAUAAGGUAUAGAAUCUGUGGCACAUGCACGGACAGUGGCAUAUCUGCACCUGCAGUGGGUCCUUUGUCAGAGGCUUGAUGUACACUUGUGAUUUAUUUCUAGAAUAUGGCAUUGUAUGGGUUAGCAUAUGUGAGAUUUAAUUGUAUAAAUCAUGAUGUGAUCUGCUUAGAUUUAUUUUUUAAGGCCAGGUUCAAUUAACCUUUAAAAUGUAGGAUACUUGUGACAAUUUUCUUGUAUAAUAAAAAUAUUUUAACAUAAUGUUUCUUCUCCUGUCUCUAAAUUCUAAAGCUUGACCUGACAAGUAAUUUGCUCUGUUCCACUUGUGUCCAGCCCCUUUAUUGAUCACAUAACUUAACCCAGGGAUUUCUUAAGGUAGACUAGGUUUGAUGUGCCACAAAUUAAAUCCUUAUUUUAGAAUGGGGUAUAGGAAUGUUCACCUUUGUCCAGUUGUAGCAUUUAUGCUAUGUCAACUAGGACCUUUCUUGCAUUCCUUGUGGCCAAAACAGUUCAGUUUCCUGACAGUUGACUCACUUGCAGGCUGCUUUAAUUAGAUUUACUUUACCCUAGCUACAUUGACCUGUGACCAGUCCAUUUACUAACUAGCCUACAAAUAUGUUCAGGGGAAGGCUGGCUGUAAGGUAUACUUGAACUGAAACUAAUAGUUUCUUGACACUGGGUCUUGCUGGUUGGCUCUCAGCCAAAGGGAUACUUAGAAUGGUGACAUUCAUCCCAGAAAACCGUGAGUUUUUAAGCUAUAUUGCGUGGUUAUAAGGUCAUACCAAGGAUAAUUUCACAACGCCCUUGAAUCAGACAAUGAAAUUAUUUGACAUUACUGCUAUUAGUCCAUACAGAUUGACAACAGUUUUGUUCUCAAGUGUCAGAUCAGGCAACAUUUAACACAAUUCCUUUUGUUUAGUGCCUAAAAAAAUCUAAUUUUCAGAUGGUACUGGGGGACCUUCAGGUGAGGUGUGAGGCUCACCUUUCCAGAGGCUUCAUAGUGUGUAGUAGAGGCUGUUCAAACUAGUCCCAAAAGAUGCUUGUGGGGGUUGUGAAAUUAACUGAUACUGUUUGAGGAUGUGAGAACGAUUUUGUUUUUCCAGGAUGUGUCAUGGUCUGACUAACACCUUUCACAUAGGCUGUGGAUAAUUUUAACUUGAUUUAUGGGGAUUGAAUGCUAAUCGGUCUUAGGGGGUUUGAAAGGAGGCUUUAGGUUGUGGCAAUAGUCUGGUAAUUUUAGAUUUAAACCAAUUUGUUAAAUUUUUUGGGGACUACCUUUUUGGCAUGUUAUUUUCAGUAUUAAUACGUUUCACAUGUCAGUUAAUUUUUUUAAAAUUAAAGCCGCAAACAUGGUCUCUUGCUUGAGUAAGACUGCUCCAAUGUAGGUUUUUCCGCCUAGCUCAGUACUCUGUGGUGGUUGGGCAGCCAGUGGAAAAUACGGAGUGUUGGUAAUGUUCUCUAGUUGUGCCACGAUUAGCUCGGUGUUCUGUCACUGCCAAGUCUAAGGGUAGACCUAGAAAAUUCAAGCCCCUUGGGUGCUGCCAUAGUUAUAUU
ensembl:lncRNA